GACGAACGCUGGCGGCGUGCUUAACACAUGCAAGUCGAACGGAAAGGCCCUGCUUUUGUGGGGUGCUCGAGUGGCGAACGGGUGAGUAACACGUGAGUAACCUGCCCUUGACUUUGGGAUAACUUCAGGAAACUGGGGCUAAUACCGGAUAGGAGCUCCUGCUGCAUGGUGGGGGUUGGAAAGUUUCGGCGGUUGGGGAUGGACUCGCGGCUUAUCAGCUUGUUGGUGGGGUAGUGGCUUACCAAGGCUUUGACGGGUAGCCGGCCUGAGAGGGUGACCGGCCACAUUGGGACUGAGAUACGGCCCAGACUCCUACGGGAGGCAGCAGUGGGGAAUAUUGCACAAUGGGCGGAAGCCUGAUGCAGCAACGCCGCGUGCGGGAUGACGGCCUUCGGGUUGUAAACCGCUUUCGCCUGUGACGAAGCGUGAGUGACGGUAAUGGGUAAAGAAGCACCGGCUAACUACGUGCCAGCAGCCGCGGUGAUACGUAGGGUGCGAGCGUUGUCCGGAUUUAUUGGGCGUAAAGGGCUCGUAGGUGGUUGAUCGCGUCGGAAGUGUAAUCUUGGGGCUUAACCCUGAGCGUGCUUUCGAUACGGGUUGACUUGAGGAAGGUAGGGGAGAAUGGAAUUCCUGGUGGAGCGGUGGAAUGCGCAGAUAUCAGGAGGAACACCAGUGGCGAAGGCGGUUCUCUGGGCCUUUCCUGACGCUGAGGAGCGAAAGCGUGGGGAGCGAACAGGCUUAGAUACCCUGGUAGUCCACGCUGUAAACGGUGGGUACUAGGUGUGGGGUCCAUUCCACGGGUUCCGUGCCGUAGCUAACGCUUUAAGUACCCCGCCUGGGGAGUACGGCCGCAAGGCUAAAACUCAAAGGAAUUGACGGGGCCCCGCACAAGCGGCGGAGCAUGCGGAUUAAUUCGAUGCAACGCGUAGAACCUUACCUGGGUUUGACAUGGAUCGGGAGUGCUCAGAGAUGGGUGUGCCUCUUUUGGGGUCGGUUCACAGGUGGUGCAUGGCUGUCGUCAGCUCGUGUCGUGAGAUGUUGGGUUAAGUCCCGCAACGAGCGCAAUCCUUGUUCACUGUUGCCAGCACGUUAUGGUGGGGACUCAGUGGAGACCGCCGGGGUCAACUCGGAGGAAGGUGGGGAUGACGUCAAGUCAUCAUGCCCCUUAUGUCCAGGGCUUCACGCAUGCUACAAUGGCUGGUACAGAGAGUGGCGAGCCUGUGAGGGUGAGCGAAUCUCGGAAAGCCGGUCUCAGUUCGGAUUGGGGUCUGCAACUCGACCUCAUGAAGUCGGAGUCGCUAGUAAUCGCAGAUCAGCAACGCUGCGGUGAAUACGUUCCCGGG
rnacentral:rRNA from 1 species